rnacentral:rRNA from 1 species
UAGGGAAUCUUCCACAAUGGACGAAAGUCUGAUGGAGCAACGCCGCGUGAGUGAAGAAGGUUUUCGGAUCGUAAAGCUCUGUUGUUGGUGAAGAAGGAUAGAGGCAGUAACUGGUCUUUAUUUGACGGUAAUCAACCAGAAAGUCACGGCUAACUACGUGCCAGCAGCCGCGGUAAUACGUAGGUGGCAAGCGUUGUCCGGAUUUAUUGGGCGUAAAGCGAGCGCAGGCGGAAUGAUAAGUCUGAUGUGAAAACCCACGGCUCAACCGU